GGGGGGACCGGAGAAAUCCCCUCUGAAUCCAGCGGCACCAUCCGCUAAGGCUAAAUACUCCUGACUGACCGAUAGUGAACCAGUACCGUGAGGGAAAGGUGAAAAGAACCCUGAAUAAGAGAGUGAAAAGAACCUGAAACCGUGUGCUUACAAGCGGUCGGAGCCCUUUUGUGGGGUGACGGCGUGCCUUUUGCAUAAUGAGCCUACGAGUUACUCCUCC
rnacentral:rRNA from 3 species